rnacentral:rRNA from 1 species
CGUCGAACGAUGAACCACUUCGGUGGGGAUUAGUGGCGAACGGGUGAGUAACACGUGGGCAAUCUGCCCUGCACUCUGGGACAAGCCCUGGAAACGGGGUCUAAUACCGGAUACUGAUCCUCGCAGGCAUCUGCGAGGUUCGAAAGCUCCGGCGGUGCAGGAUGAGCCCGCGGCCUAUCAGCUUGUUGGUGAGGUAACGGCUCACCAAGGCGACAACAGGUAGCCGGCCUGAGAGGGCGACCGGCCACACUGGGACUGAGACACGGCCCAGACUCCUACGGGAGGCAGCAGUGGGGAAUAUUGCACAAUGGGCGAAAGCCUGAUGCAGCGACGCCGCGUGAGGGAUGACGGCCUUCGGGUUGUAAACCUCUUUCAGCAGGGAAGAAGCGAAAGUGACGGUACCUGCAGAAGAAGCGCCGGCUAACUACGUGCCAGCAGCCGCGGUAAUACGUAGGGCGCAAGCGUUGUCCGGAAUUAUUGGGCGUAAAGAGCUCGUAGGCGGCUUGUCACGUCGGUUGUGAAAGCCCGGGGCUUAACCCCGGGUCUGCAGUCGAUACGGGCAGGCUAGAGUUCGGUAGGGGAGAUCGGAAUUCCUGGUGUAGCGGUGAAAUGCGCAGAUAUCAGGAGGAACACCGGUGGCGAAGGCGGAUCUCUGGGCCGAUACUGACGCUGAGGAGCGAAAGCGUGGGGAGCGAACAGGAUUAUAUACCCUGGUAGUCCACGCCGUAAACGGUGGGCACUAUGUGUGGGCAACAUUCCACGUUGUCCGUGCCGCAGCUAACGCAUUAAGUGCGC